AUUGAACGCUGGCGGCAUGCCUUACACAUGCAAGUCGAACGGCAGCACGGGGGCAACCCUGGUGGCGAGUGGCGAACGGGUGAGUAACAUAUCGGAACAUACCCUAGAGUGGGGGAUAACGUAGCGAAAGUUACGCUAAUACCGCAUACGAUCUAAGGAUGAAAGUGGGGGAUCUUCGGACCUCAUGCUCAUGGAGUGGCCGAUAUCUGAUUAGCUAGUUGGUGAGGUAAAGGCUCACCAAGGCGACGAUCAGUAGCUGGUUUGAGAGAACGACCAGCCACACUGGAACUGAGACACGGUCCAGACUCCUACGGAGGCAGCAGUGGGAAUUUUGGACAA
rnacentral:rRNA from 1 species